UUGAGUGAUGAAAAAAACCGACAAAUCUAGGGAUUCCUCAUGCCGAAUACAUUAUGUGGAUUUGUUUAGUUUCAGCCUUGUCUGACU
rnacentral:snoRNA from 1 species